UGUGUCUUUUUGUAGUCAUUUUGUGUCUGGUUGUAGUUGUUUGUGUCUUUUUGUAGUCAUUUUGUGUAUGGCUGUAGUUGUUUGUAUCCCCUUGUGGUCAUUUUGUGUGCCAUAUAAUCGUAUGUUUGACUUGCACGAUGAAAUGUGUAACAGUCACUUCAGACAGAGGCUCUGGCCCCGGGGACCCCUGAGAGUCUUGUGGUCCUGGGCCUUUGCCUGGCUGAUCCUUCAGUAAUCCAUCCACGGAGCAUGACAGCAAAGAAACUCCAUCCAUGGAGGAAGCACACAAGCUGUGGCUGAAAGCUCCUGAAGCAGGCAAGCAGAUCUCAGGUCUGUAUUUUUGACAAACUGUUCAAGAUUGAACCCUCAAGCUGGACUGUCCUAACGUUGUCUUUACAAGUGAGAAUUCAGCUGUUGCACUGAAGUGACAGAUUCUGAGAUCUGACUCCUGUGUGAUGAUCAGUGCAGAGGUCUCUGUAGGGGGAGUGGUCUCAUGAAGUACACACUGGAUUUACUCAUGACUUUAAAAAGCCAUUUCAGUUUGCUUAUAUAUUAAAAAUUCUCCCAGGAAUCAAAUUAAUUUAUGAUGAGCUGUCAAAGGCUGUGAGCGUCAAUCUGUCCUGAAGGGAUCCAUAAGAUCUUUUGUACAUGGAGUGCGUGUCUGAAGUUAUCAGGUAGUGAAAUGUCAUGUUACAUUAUCCACCGUCUGGAGGAAUCUGUACGAUUUCCCGUGAAGCCUCACGUGUUUUUGGGCGCAGACGCAGUAAUUGUCUCUGUCAGUUAGCUAAGGAAAGGUUGCGCCGUCGCGCCGCAAAUUAACCUUUUACAGGAAUGUUGAAAGUUGACGUUAAUGCCACCGCAGUCCUGAGCGGCGUGAAGAGCCUGAAGUCCAAACCAAACCAAACACGGUGUCAAACAGUGGGCCCGUCUCUGGAUGUUCGAGCGGGCGGCUGCUUCUGCUGGUCACAUGCUUUCUCAGCACACAUGCGACAGUCCCGCUCAGCACUGACCCGGUUCGCUUCAUGAGGGACCGGCUCCUCGAGCUCCUCCAUGUCAGGUGGGGUGCUGGCUCACCAAUUACUGGGUGAGGCUGAGAAAGUAGCAUAGAGCUGCCCCGAGCUGCCAUGUUGUAUUAGCAUCACGCUGCUGGCAAGUAGGUUUCAAGUCGUUUAACAGGAGGAGAUCUGACAAACCGCCUCGUUUCACUGUGCCCGGUUGAUCUGCAACACAAGAGGAGGAACAUCAAGCUGUACGUAAAGCUCGGUCCCAUAAUUCUCAGUGUUUGUGACUUGGGGGGCUUUAAGUUGUCUGAGCUGCAUAUGGAGUCACGACUGGCUCCAGACCAGCGGUGAUGUCACUGACUUGCCUGGUGCGGACACGUGGUUCAGUUUGAGCGUUAUCUCUUCAGCCUGGAAAGAAAACAUCUGAGCUUCGGCUGGAACAAACUCCCAAAGCCGGUUUGUUUAACCCCUGGACGGCACAUUAACCCCUGUUAGAGCCAGCUUGUCAGCUCAGCACAAAGGAAGAGAAGCUGCUUGAUAUUUAGGGCCUAUUACCACAAACCGCCCUCUGUUGUGUCCCAAAGAAAACAAUUUCUCCUCAAGAGCUGCAAAAAUACACAUCAUCAUGCAUUUUUAAAGGAGAGAAAAAAAAACAAGAUUUCAGUGUCGUUAUCUUCAGAAAAGUGACUUUUAUGCACCUCAGAGCUGAACAGGGCUGUUUCCCGUGCAUGUUAAGGUGAUGGAGGUUAAUCGCAUGAGAUAAGUGCAGCCCAGCAGGUACAAUACACCUCCACAGGAAGCAUGUUAUCCCUCUGGGUGGGAGAGACGGAGCACUUGUGAUGGAUUACAAGGCCCGCCACAAAUACCUGAGGCUUAUGGGACAUCAGAUCAAUGAGAAAACAUCAGCCUCCCUGUAAUACCACUAAUGUCUUUCACUGUGCCAGGAACUGGGGUCAAGUCUGGAAGGUAGAACUUGAUUCUCGAUGAAAAGCGCAUUGAGAAACGUUCAACCUUUCGAAGCUUUUAACCAGACAGACGUCUUUAAAAAGAGCCUCCUCCUCCUCCUCACCUGUCUUCCUGCUGACCCGAGCGCACUCUAUCUGACCCGGGACUCUCCGGUCCAGAUCUUUUUUCUAACAUGCCAGCUUAAAUAAGGCGAAGAGCGGUUAUGGAGCUGAAGACCCCCGAAAUAGAGGAAUCGCGUGAGAAAGAGGCGAGCACACUGAAGGUAGCAGCUGACUGAGUGGAGAGUGCACCGCCCCCCGAGGUCAAAGCACUUCUGUCAUAUUAGCUUAUACACGGGGUCCAUAUUUUCAAUAAAUCAUGGCCCUCAAGGAUCGCUGGGAGUGCAGGGGCCAUUAGAGCCGUCCUCCAUGUGGGCUCCCUCUGCCUCACCGCUGCUGCUGGACUGUGGUGAGGGAGCAAAAUAAUGUGUCUGAUUUAGAUUUAAAAAAUUAUGUUUUAUUAACUUAAAAAUGUCUUAAUGCAAUAAAAAAGUGAAGCUUUGUCUGUAUUUGUGACAGGAAGCUGAAUUAAAAA